GUGGGUAUAGCUCAGUUGGUAGUAGCACUGGAUUGUGGUUCCAGGUGUCGUGGGUUCGAGCCCCAUUACCCACC
rfam:Clostridium lentocellum DSM 5427, complete genome.